rnacentral:ncRNA from 1 species
UCUUAUCCAGAGAGGUGGAGGGACUGGCCCAAUGAAACCCGGCAACCGCCAAUCGUUUUGCGGUUGGAAAGGUGCCAAUUCCUGCAGAACCAGGGGGUUCUGAGAGAUGAGG